AGUGAACGCUGGCGGCGUGCCUAAUACAUGCAAGUCGAACGAAGUGGCGCACGGGUGUGUAAUAUAUAGUUAAUCUGCCCUACACAGAGGAACAACAGUUGGAAACAGCUGCUAAUACCUCAUAGUGUAGGAUGAGACUAUAUCGUAUCAGCUAGUUGGUAAGGUAAUGGCUUACCAAGGCUAUGACGCGUAACUGGUCUGAGAGGAGUAUCAGGUACAUUGGAAGUGAGACACGGUCCAGACUCGUACGGGAGGCAGCAGUAAGGAAUAUUGCACAAUGGGGGGAACCCUGACGCAGCAACGCCGCGUGGGGGAUGACACUUUUCGGAGCGUAAACUCCUUUUACCAGGUAAGCGGUACCUGAUGAAUAAGCACCGGCUAACUCCGUGCCAGCAGCCGCGGUAAUUC
rnacentral:rRNA from 1 species